rnacentral:tmRNA from 1 species
GGGCCAGUACUGGUUUCGACAGGGAUCUAGAAGCUUGAGGAGCCAUUGGGAGGGACCACCUUACGGUACAAACUUAAAUAUAAACGCAGAUAAUAAAUUAGCGUACGCUGCCUAGUUUGCAGCAGUCAGCUCCGGAUCACCUACAGUCUGUGAGUCCUGGCUUCAAAUAAUGUAGGACCCUCAUUUGCCUAAGCUUUGCGGCAGAUGAAGUAUUUAUGAAGCUACUAAAGCAGUGAUCCUGUCUGUCGGAGCACUGUGGAGGGAAUGUAAAAAGACAGACUGUAAUGGGAGAGCCUCAUGUGGAAAGGUUUUUGGACGCGGGUUCGAUUCCCGCCUGGUCCAUUA